rnacentral:miRNA from 1 species
UCUAAAAUGAGUGGUGCUGAU